rnacentral:rRNA from 1 species
UACGGGGGGUGCAAACGUUGUUCGGAAUCACUGGGCGUAAAGCGCACGUAGGCGGCUUGUUAAGUCAGGGGUGAAAUCCUGGAGCUCAACUCCAGAACUGCCUUUGAUACUGGCGAGCUUGAGUCCGGGAGAGGUGAGUGGAACUGCGAGUGUAGAGGUGAAAUUCGUAGAUAUUCGCAAGAACACCAGUGGCGAAGGCGGCUCACUGGCCCGGUACUGACGCUGAGGUGCGAAAGCGUGGGGAGCAAACAGG